rnacentral:rRNA from 1 species
UACGGAGGGAGCUAGCGUUGUUCGGAAUUACUGGGCGUAAAGCGCACGUAGGCGGCUUUGUAAGUUAGAGGUGAAAGCCCGGGGCUCAACCCCGGAAUUGCCUUUAAGACUGCAUCGCUUGAAUCCGGGAGAGGUGAGUGGAAUUCCGAGUGUAGAGGUGAAAUUCGUAGAUAUUCGGAAGAACACCAGUGGCGAAGGCGGCUCACUGGACCGGUAUUGACGCUGAGGUGCGAAAGCGUGGGGAGCAAACAGGAUAGAAACC